ensembl:lncRNA
CACACACAUUCAUGCACGACCGUGUGUUGUAGAAACUGUGAUGCAUUGUGAUAAGGAUUUCUGAGGCGAGAUAUGUGUGAGAGGCAGUCUUUAUGAGCCUCUUACAGGAUAACGCAACCUUUACUGGGAAAGAAAAAUGUUGCAAUAAAAAUAUUUUAUGUAGUCGAAGCAAUUGCAUAAAGCUAGGGUUUUCGUGCAACCGGUCAGGCGGACGUUAAUAUCGGGUGAUUCAAGUUUAGUUAAAGAAGAGCGGAGCGAGCACAUCUGGAGUUAACAACCAUUCGCUCGACAACUGUGUGCCAUAAAAGGAAAGGGGGCGUGGCGAUAGGUGGCGUUGGAUUUCACAGCCAGAGAACGUGACUGCAAUGGAUGCCUUAGCGAAUGCUGCCCAACUUCUACUGCCUACCGAAAGCUGUCCAGCAGCGCCGACCGCUCGCUACGUUUGUGCAUCGGGCGCGUCCUUUCCUUCAGUUCGUCCGGUCGUCGUCGCUUCUACCUCCGCUACAGUUGACAGUCGGUAAACAACAACUUUGAAUAAAUAAAAAAAAUCCUCGCACAGAAGAAGAAUUACAGCUGCGUAAACUGAACUUCCAUCCAGCCCUCCGGAGAGGGGACCGCGGGCAGGAGGCGGAGUCAACAGGUCGCAGAUUUAAGGAGCGGCCGUUGAUUUGGACCUGGAUUUCCUCGAAGGCAGGGAGGAGGAAGAGGUGGAGGAGGAGCACGAGGAGGAUUGACGUUUUUGGGUCUCUUGAUCUCCCUCUCCCCCUCGGUUCUUCCCUCAGAUGGUAUGGAUUGAGACAGAGAGACAGUCAGAGAGUCCCUUGACUGGGCAUGCCACAGCAUCCAGGAUUCUGGCAGCUAGCGCUAACGACUGUUCUACUGCUACCUCUGCUGCUGCCUCUUACCGCUGCCGUCUCUGUCUCCCUGCUGCUGCUCCUGCUCUGAAAACCCAGCGCUGUACUUGCAAAUGGACAGUGAAGGGAGACAGGGAAGUGGGUUGAAGAAGACCGGAGAUGACGUACACCACAGGACCACCGGUGGGAAUCGAACUGGGUCGCUUCAAAGCAUGAUGCCUGCGUGACUAGCACAACAGUGAGAUAGGCCACCGAGACGCCCUGACGUCUGACACUCUAACGUAAACCUGAUCGGCACACCAAGUCGGGUUGGAACAAUUCAACUGUACCCGGCGUCAGAGUCUCCUCUGCUGUCUAGUCUAGAUGGUUAAUUCAGAGGCCUGUUCAAGCAGUGUAUUGUUGUGUAUUGUUUCCCACGCUCUAUUCAUUAAAUGUCAGAAAUCCAUCUUGUGCUGGGAGGGACCCUCGAAACAAAAAUGAAUCAUUUUGAUUGUUAAGCUUGAUUUCCACGUGAAUGUCUAAUGAUGAAUAAUUUAUCAUCGAUUAAUCGUUAACAUCCACUCCGGCACAAACACACACACACACACACACACACACACACACACACACACACACACACACACACACACACACACACACACACACACACACACACACACACACACACACACACACACACACACACACACCUCCCUUUGUAGAUCCAUCCUAUGGAAUGUCUUCAUCGUGUGUGUGUGUGUGUGUGUGUCUGUGUGUGUGUGUGUGUGUGCCCGCUUCUGUUUGGUCAGUGUCGGAUUACUGGAGGUUGGCCUGGUGGGGCUAGGGGGUCCAGGGGUCCCGUUCAGGAAUGGGACCCUGCCAGUGUGUGCGUGGCAGCGCUGACCCCAGCAGGUCAGCGUCCAUUACCGUGUGAAGCCCAACUGUCAGCCCCCCGGACCCCCUGCUGGCACCAUUUGUCUUCCUCUGGGGGUCAGCCUAUCUCUACUGGACAGACCCCCCCGCCGAACACACACACACACAUACACACACACACACAUAGACACACAGACACACACAGACGCAUACAGACACACAGACGCACAUACACAUACACUUACACACACACACAGACAGAAACACGGACCCAAAAACACACACAAACACACACACACACACACACACACACACACACACACACACACACACACACACACACACACACACACACACACACCAACAUAUAUAUAUAUAUACACACAAACACCUACAUAUACAUACACAUACACACCUACAUAUACAGUACAUACACACAAACAUACAUACACACACCGCCACCUCACUUAUAAACAGAUACACACACACACAGACGCACUCUCAUGCUGACACUGUUUACGUGAAUGUACAACAGUAGGGACGAACACAUACGUGUCGCGCUUCCUCAGUGCUCCAGGAGCUCUAUCUUCUCCGCUCUAUUUUUCCAUAUGCAUUCCAUUUCCUUUGUCUGCCGGGGAAGUGUUGUAAUGUCGACCGUGAACUGUUCACACCUCAUAAUCAUUUGAAAUGUGUCACUCUGAAAUCCUCCCCGUCCCCCCUCUCCCGUCCCCCCAGACAGCUUAUCUCUCCCCGUUACGCUCUCCACUGCCGUCGCCCUUGAUAGUAGCAUAGGAUAAAAGCCUUAAAUGGAAUAUUGUCACCAACGCGAUGAGAUAUGUCUUAUGCACACACGUGUGGGAGAUAGUCGCGCAAACGCACCUCGCAGCCCCACACCGUCAAGAUAGAGGUCUCCUAAUGGUGGUGUUUCAUUUCUGCGAGCAGCAUUAUUUUAGAGUUAUGGAAAAACAUUAGCUUAACAUGCGACGUGCUCAACGGCGAGAGACUCCUCGCUCCUGUGAGCUCGCCGCUCGUAGUCCCAAGGUCGCCCGCCUGCGAGGGCCGCGUGAUGAGUUCAUGCUAGACGCGCGGCGUCUGUGACACGUUCUUAAGGAACGCCGUGUCCAUGAGCAGAACAUAAAGCGGUUAUAUUAUGCUAGUUCAUUGACUGCGGUUAGCGUGGGUGAACUUCCUCCGGUGUUGCGCCUGCAAUCUUAAUAUCAUAAUCAGCCCCGUCUUUGCCACAUUGAGACUUGAAAACACAUAGUUCCGGCGGUUCAGCCGACCUCCUGUCCUUCAAACCUCAUCCCAGUGCCUCUGUUUUUACCACAGCUACUCCAUUAAGAGGAGCAAUUGUUUCUUUAGGGAGUGUGCUUCUGUGUCUUUUUGUGUACGUGUGUUUCUGUUUGUUUGUGUGCAGUCAAGAAAAUAAAAACCAAACCGAACCGGACUGUGUAUCUUUUUUCUCUGUCUCUCUCGCUCCCUCUCUCUGCCUCUCACUCUACUUUUCCUCUCUAUUAGCGAUUGGCCUACUUUAUAAAUCUAUAGUUAGCCUUCGCCAAAUUCAAGGCUGUGUAUUGUUACGUUGGUGUGUGUGUGUGUGUGUGUGUGUGUGUGUGUGUGU